UUCACGUUCGGACGGACGAUGCACUUUGCAGCGGUCUCGUCCGAGUUCCACAGCUUCGUGAAACUUCCUCAGAGAAAUGGUGACGACAGAGGCCGAACGCAGACAUGUGGCUUUUGUUAACUAAUGACGAGCUGCAAGGAAACAACGGACAGAAGCUCCCGGCUCAAGUCGUGGUUCAGGUUGAAAUCCCUGCUGGACUGGAACCCGGCAGAUCUUCAUCUACGACCUCCAGAGCCGCCGGACUCCAGAGACGGAGUUGGUCCAGACUGAAACUCUCUCGUGGUCCCCAGAGGAUGAAUCAUCUCUGACGCUGCAGCAGUGGCGACACGCCGCUCCUCGCUCUGCGUCCGCUCGGAGUUUGAAGCUCAUUUCCUGUGACGAGGACCAAUCAAAUGAAUUCCAAGACUCUUCAGUCAACCUGCUGCCUCCGGCCGAUCUCUCUCUCUCUGCUGCUGUUUUUCUGCGAGCGUGACCAUGUGUGUGCACACGUGUGGCUUCAUGUCUGCGCACACGCUUCCCUGACGUCCACACGCCAAACAAGAGAGAGAGAGAGAGAGAGAGAGAGAGCGAGCGAAGGUCUGGUUCAUCCCAGAGGUCGCGGCCUCUGUGAAGGUCAAGUGUGUCCUACCUGAUAUGUGGAGCGACAGUGAGAGGAGACCGACGAGGGGAACAAGGUGAACCGGAGACACGGCGAGAGAAGGAGACGACCGAUCCAUUAGUCAAACUCAUCUCUGCUUGAUUCAUAUUUAAUCAUAUUUUAAUACCCGCCGGUGGAGCGUCACUAAAACGAACUGAAAGCGAAUUAUUAGGGACGUUGAGUCGUGGCCGCUCAGCGUCAUCGUCGCUCCGUCUGUACGAGUUCAUUCUAAGAGGAAACUAUCUCCUUUAGCAAAGGACACACUGGAGCUUCCUCUGCGAAAGGACAGGAGAGACAG